rnacentral:rRNA from 1 species
UACAGAGGUCUCAAGCGUUGUUCGGAUUCAUUGGGCGUAAAGGGUGCGUAGGCGGCGAGGCAAGUCGGAUGUGAAAUCUCAGGGCUCAACCCUGAAACUGCAUUCGAUACUGCUCUGCUCGAGGACUGGAGAGGAGAUUGGAAUUCACGGUGUAGCAGUGAAAUGCGUAGAUAUCUGGAGGAACACCGGUGGCGAAGGCGGCAUCCUGGACCAAUAUUGACGCUGAGGAGCGAAAGCUAGGGGAGCAAACGGG